ensembl:lncRNA
AUGAAAACAUGUUUUUAAAAAAAUUUAAAGAACAUCUUAGCUGCUGCUUGCAGCCCUUGUGACCGGGGGUUUUACUGAAGGAACCAGCUUCCCUUUUGGCAGCCAUAACGGCCGAACACGUGCUUCUAUGACCUUGUCCUAGACACUAGAAAGUCAGAUGCCUGCCUCAUGACAAGGAACCAAUCAGAAGUUAGCUGGUGGCGCUAUGCUUUACGACCCUGGGUGUGCUUUACGGACAAGCGCACAGCAAUGACACAGAGAGCAUAGCAACCACCCUGGGAGGGCCUAUGGGCCAUAACAACCAGUUGACCAAUCAACACAGGGCAAGCCCUCCAAGCCUGGAGGCACACCAAUCGUAAGCCUGUGCGUACCCCUAGACACUCCCCUUACGCUGUCCUAUAAGAUCUCUUGGGAGGCCCUAGGAGCCGUCUUUUGCGAGCCAUCCGCCAUGGCGGGUGGGUGAAAGACCCGAGCUAACAUGGGGUUAGCUCGUUAAAUUACAAUAAAGCCUCGUGCAGUUUGCAUCAAGCUCUCGAAUCUGCCUGGUGAUUGGGGUGACCGCAGUCGUGGCCUGGGACCCGGAUACUUGAGUUUUCGGGGGGGGGUCCUAACAUUUGGGGGCUCGUCUGGGAUUUGCGACCACCCCUCACCUGAGUGGAUUCGAUCUUGGAGGUAAGAUGAUUCGAGCUCGCAACUUGCAUGUUCAAUGUAGAUGUUUGCUUGUUAUGUCUCUUGCUCUUUUGUUGGUUUGGUGCCAUGACUUGAAUUUGUACUGGUAUUUGGAAUUUGUAUUCGGACCUCAGGGGGAAAUAGACGUGUUUCGAGACCCUGAAGUCCUGCCCUGGACGAAAGUACGAGGGUUGUUUGAAUUGAACCAUAGGGUAAGCAGACUUGCGGGCCCAGAAAUAGACGUAUUUCUGGAACCCUUGGUUCCUGGACGAAAGUCCAAGGGUUGUUUGUAAUUUUGGUUUGGGGCACCAUUUCUUUGCCGCGGUUUGUGCUGUCUAAUGUCUGUCCACGUUUCAUAUUUGUGUUUUGUGUUUGUUAAGCAUCUCUUUCUGUCCCUACUGCCCACGCACAUGGCAUGCAUGGGUCAGGGGGUCUUUUCUUGAUGCUCUGAGCACGUGGCGCCACCUCAACUGUGAUCGGCAGAUGCCUGGAGGACAGACUGCUUCUCUGAGGACACCCAGGAGGUUUCUGCUUCUGGCAGACAUCUGAGUAUCAGUUGCUGACUACAGGCUGUUCUAAGUAGACUGCGAGCCCUGGACUUGCUGUGGAUAUGAACCAGUCCAGCUGAUGUGGACACCCCCUGUCUCUGCAACAGAGUCUGCCAAAAGCCCCUGAUGGAUUCCCCAUUGCCUAAAUUCCUUUUUGCUUUUGACUAGCAUUUCAACCUUCUGGGGUCCCUAACUUCGUCCCAAAGUCAGCAGGAAGCAGUUUGGAAAAGAAUUUCACUGCCCAUUUUCCCUGGUUCAAAUGCUAAGUCAGGAGGGACUCGACUCCCUUGCAUGGGGAUGCCAAUAUCUAUCACUCCCUGAUGGGGAUGCUAGAGAGACAGCAAUUCAAUGAUUGGAAUUUCCAAAAAAGAAAAUGGGGGAAUGAAGGGACCAGCUUCCCUUUUGGCAGCCAUAAUGGCCGAACACGUGCUUCUAUGACCUUGUCCUAGACACUAGAAAGUCAGAUGCCUGCCUCGUGACAAGGAACCAAUCAGAAGUUAGCUGGUGGCACUAUGCUUUACGACUCUGAGUGUGCUUUAUGGUCAAGUGCACAGCAAUGACACAGAGAGCAUAGCAACCACCCUGGGAGGGCCUAUGGGCCAUAACAACCAGUUGACCAUUCAACACAGGGCAAGCCCUCCAAGCCUGGAAGCACACCAAUAAUGAGCCUGUGUGUACCACUAGACACUCCCCUUACGCUGCCCUACAAGAUCAGUAUGCAGCAGCGAGUUCAAGCUGUCUUUUGGGAGCCAUCCGCCUUGGCGGGUGGGUGAAAGACCCAAGCUAACAUGAGGUUAGCUCAUUAAAUUACAAUAAAG